UACAGAGGUCUCAAGCGUUGUUCGGAUUCAUUGGGCGUAAAGGGUGUGUAGGUGGCGCGCUAAGUCGGGUGUGAAAUUUCGGAGCUUAACUCCGAAACUGCAUUCGAUACUGGCGUGCUUGAGGACUGGAGAGGAGACUGGAAUUCAUGGUGUAGCAGUGAAAUGCGUAGAGAUCAUGAGGAAGACCAGUGGCGAAGGCGGGUCUCUGGACAGUUCUGACACUGAGACACGAAGGCCAGGGGAGCGAACGGG
rnacentral:rRNA from 1 species